rnacentral:lncRNA from 1 species
AGUCUUGGAACUAGGAUUGGGGUGGGGUUCAUCCCACCCAGACCACAGAGACUGAAAAUAAGAAAGGGGUGAGGCCUAAGGGACAAUCAGGAUGUUUUUCAGAGAGAAGUGUGGAUGCUGGACAGGAAGAACCACAGAUACCAGAUACGGAAAAGGAAGAAUCAACACUUUCAGAGAUGGAGCCUGUUGAGCCACAGUACCAACUAGUCAAUGCUGAAUCGACUUCUCCCUUUCUACAUUGCCUGAGAGAAGUCAUUGGGGAAUACUCUAGAGUCAAGGGAUUGGAUUGUGGAUUGCAUUGGUGGUUUUCCUCAGUUUCCUCAUCUUCUCCACAAGUUUCUACAUAUCGAAUGCAGAGCAGCCCUUCUUCAAAGGACCUCCUACGGAAGCUGCUAAGGAACUCAGUCUGUAGCUCUGCGUGGAGCCAUGUGUAAACACUGAACUGAGACCUGCCACCUCCUACUACCUAAGGGCCCAUUUUCAUCUGAUAUCAUCCCCCAGAAACAAACUCAUGAUGACUUCCAUGUUUUUUUUAGAUUAGAUACAUGGAGAAUUUUCCUUUCCCUUAGAAUUAAAAUCCUGCAUUCUAAUUUUCAAGUGAUGUUCCCAGGAGAAAUGAUAAUGCAGCAAUGGACAAGAACAGGAACAAGAGACAGUCUUACCAUCUUCUUACAAUUUAUAGAUGGGACAGUGGAAAGAGAAGCCACAUCGGGGUUGGGCAUGCAGAGACCUGGUCCUAAAUCUGUGUGACUUUUGCGAAAUCCUUUUGCCUCACAGAGCUCUAGGUUCUUAUCUGUCAAACAGGAACCAGACCAUCAGAUCCGUAGAGAUCCAACCAAUGAAGGAGACUUCGAAAACUUCACAUUGCCGUGUCAAUGUGAGGUUGCUGGAUGGUUAUGACAAGAAAUCACAUUAAAUUCACUGGGGUAACAUUGUUCAUGAAACGGGAUAAUGUGUUUCAGCGAUGAACCACCCAUGGCCUUACUACAGACAUAUUUCCACUUUGAAAAUGUGUGUGAGUGUACAUGUCUGUGUGUGAGGCAGAGAUUAGAAAGUGUAAAUGUGUGCGUUUUCAUUUUACACAUCUUACAUUUUCCUUUAAUUUGUUUGAAAGCCUGUUUUGUUUGUGGCUUCCAUUCCUGGAAGUCCCAUGAGUUGUUAGUGGUGAAGAUGGAACAGAUGUGUCCAACCCGGGGGACUCCUGCCCUCAGGGACUGAGCAGCUGCAAACCUCUCUCUCAUCUGAUUCCACUGUUUCUUCCACAUGUACACAUCAUGAGAAAUAUUGUUCAAUCAAUAUCUUCCCUUAAAUCAACUCAUAUGCUUAUUUACAUGAAUUUACCUAAAACAGAAACUUGAUAUCACUUCUGUAAAUGAAAAAAUUAAACUUUCUGGCUUUAAAUAAAGCAUAACAAUAAUAAUCAUGUCAAAA